ensembl:snRNA U6 U6 spliceosomal RNA
GCUCCAGCAACGCAUAGACUAAAAUUGGAACCAUACAGAGAAGGUUCACAUGGCCCCUGUGUAAGGAUGAUAUGCAAAUUCAUGAAGCUUUCCAUAUUUAG